rnacentral:rRNA from 1 species
UAAAGUGGAUUAGCGGCGGACGGGUGAGUAACACGUGAGUAACCUGCCUUAGACAUUGGGAUAGCCUCGGGAAACCGGGAUUAAUACCAAAUAAAAUCAUAAUGACACAUGUCAUAACGAUCAAAACUCCGGUGGCCUAAGAUGGACUCGCGUCCCAUUAGCUAGUUGGUAGAGUAAAAGCCUACCAAGACGACGAUGGGUAGCCGGCCUGAGAGGGUGAACGGCCACAUUGGAACUGAGAAACGGUCCAA